rnacentral:rRNA from 1 species
AUCGAUGAAGAACGCAGCGAAAUGCGAUAAGUAAUGUGAAUUGCAGAAUUCAGUGAAUCAUCGAAUCUUUGAACGCACAUUGCGCCCCUUGGUAUUCCGAGGGGCAUGCCUGUUCGAGCGUCAUUACAACCCUCAAGCUCUGCUUGGUAUUGGGCAUCACUAGAAAUAGUGUGCCUUAAAGACAGUGGCGGUGCCAUCUGGCUCUAAGCGUAGUAAUUCUUCUCGCUAUAGAUGUCUUGUGGAUGCUUGCCAGCAACCCCUAAUUUUUUAAGGUUGACCUCGGAUCAGGUAGGGAUACCCGCUGAACUUAAGCAUAUCAAUAAGCGGAGGAAAAGAAACCAACAGGGAUUACCUCAGUAACGGCGAGUGAAGCGGUAACAGCUCAAAUUUGAAAUCUGGGUCUUUCAGGCUCCGAGUUGUAAUUUGUAGAAGAUGCUUCGGGUGUAGCUCCGGUCUAAGUUCCUUGGAACAGGACGUCAUAGAGGGUGAGAAUCCCGUAUGUGACUGGGUGCUUUCGCUCAUGUGAAGCUCUUUCAACGAGUCGAGUUGUUUGGGAAUGCAGCUCAAAAUGGGUGGUAUAUUUCAUCUAAAGCUAAAUAUUGGCCAGAGACCGAUAGCGCACAAGUAGAGUGAUCGAAAGAUGAAAAGCACUUUGGAAAGAGAGUUAAACAGUACGUGAAAUUGUUGAAAGGGAAGCGCUUGCAACCAGACUUGCACGUUGUCGAUCAUCCGAGGUUUUCCCCGGUGCACUCGAUUUCGUUCAGGCCAGCAUCGGUUUCAGUGGUUGGAUAAAGGCCUUAGGAAUGUGGCACCUCUCGGGGUGUGUUAUAGCCUAAGGUGCAAUGCAGCCUACUGGGACCGAGGACCGCGCUUCGGCUAGGAUGCUGGCGUAAUGGUUGUAAGCGACCCGUCUUGAAACACGGAAG